GUGCCCAGCCAAGUCAGCUCCCUGGGCCCCUUUCCUGUGGAGUCUGCUGUGCAGUGUCUGCAGACAGCAGUGACCCUAGCAGUGUAUGUAGCCCUUGCUCAUCUGGGUUGUCAAAGGGUCCUUGAAUCAGCC